rnacentral:rRNA from 1 species
GAUGAACGCUGACAGAAUGCUUAACACAUGCAAGUCUUUGGCGAAGCUGUGCUUGCACAGCCUAGCCAAGGCGGACGGGUGAGUAACGCGUAAGGAACUUGCCCUGCAGUCAGGGAUAACAGACGGAAACGACUGAUAAGACCUGGUAAAGUCAGGCGGACUCAUGUCCAGCCUGAUGAAAAGUGAUGCUGCAGGAGAGCCUUGCGUCCUAUUAGCUUGUUGGUGGGGUAACGGCCCACCAAGGCGAUGAUAGGUAGCCGGCCUGAGAGGGUGGACGGCCACAAGGGGACUGAGAUACGGCACUUACUCCUACGGGAGGCAGCAGUGGGGAAUAUUGGACAAUGGGGGCAACCCUGAUCCAGCAAUUCUGUGUGCACGAUGAAGGUUUUCGGAUUGUAAAGUGCUUUCAGCAGGGAAGAAAAAAAUGACGGUACCUGCAGAAGAAGCGACGGCUAAAUACGUG